AGAUCUGAUAUGUUACGAUUUAUAAAUAAUUCCACAGUUCAAGUGUUAGAUACAUGUCAAGAGCCCGGGAACUCCUUGGUUUUGAGUGUUUUCUACAUCACUUUAUUCACCGCUUCUCUCUUCCUUUUCAUCCUUGUGAUAUUGAUAACUGUAGUACUAGCCUGCAGAGCACGAGGUCGGGUUCGAGUUAAACGAUCCUGGAUGAUAAACCUUGAUCUUAUCCCUGAAGAAAAGAAUAUAAUGAG